rnacentral:lncRNA from 1 species
GUCCCGUAUAGGCUUCAUAUAGGUCUAUAGUUGUAGUAUCAUAUAGUAUUGUAUUAUAUUGUGUGGUCAGGGGCGGACCUACACAAAACAGGUCGGGGUAUAAGUCCCGUCGUUAGAUAUAUGGAGCUUGCACAGGGAGGAGCAGGUCGUUGUGGAGCAUGGAUCGUGGAUGCCAUGCUUCAUAUAGGUCUAUAGUUGUAGUAUCAUAUAGUAUU